rnacentral:rRNA from 1 species
ACCUACGGGACGCAGCAGUAGGGAAUCUUCCACAAUGGGCGAAAGCCUGAUGGAGCAACGCCGCGUGGGUGAAGAAGGUCUUCGGAUCGUAAAACCCUGUUGUUAGAGAAGAAAGUGCGUGAGAGUAACUGUUCACGUUUCGACGGUAUCUAACCAGAAAGCCACGGCUAACUACGUGCCAGCAGCCGCGGUAAUACGUAGGUGGCAAGCGUUAUCCGGAUUUAUUGGGCGUAAAGGGCGUGUAGCCGGGCUGACAAGUCAGAUGUGAAAUCCGGGGGCUCAACCCCCGAACUGCAUUUGAAACU